GACGAACGCUGGCGGCGUGCUUAACACAUGCAAGUCGAAGAUAGUGGCGAACGGGUGAGUAAUACGUGGGUAACCUGCCCUCCUUUUUGGGAUAAGCCUUGGAAACGGGGUCUAAUACCGAAUCAAGGGGGAUGGGCUCGCGGCCUAUCAGCUUGUUGGUGGGGUGAUGGCCUACCAAGGCGGUGACGGGUAGCCGGCCUGAGAGGCGGCACGGCCACAGUGGGACGGCGCUAAGGCCCAGACGCCGAAGGGGGGGAGCAGUGGGGGAUAUUGCACAAUGGGCGAACGACUGAUGCAGCGACGCCGCGGGGGGGAUGAAGGCUGUCGGGUUGUAAACCUCUUGCGCGAUCGAAAGGGUAGGUGGAGAAGAAGCGCCGGCUAACUACGUGCCAGCAGCCGCGGUAAUAC
rnacentral:rRNA from 1 species